GUGGUGGGCACCUGUAAUUCCACUUACUCGGGAGGUUGAGGCAGGAGACUCACUUGAACCUGGGAGGCAGAGGUUGCAGUGAGCUGAGAUCAUGCCACUGCACUCCAGCCUAGGGGACAAAAGGGAAACUCCGUUUCAAAAAAAAAAAAAAAUCUUCUUCAAUGGAAUUUUUUUUUUAAGAAACUUGGUUUCAUUUUCCAUUAAGGUGAAAGCUAACAUCUGGGUUCAAUUCAGUUCUUAACCUACACAUUCUUGCUUUCUUUCUGUCUUGCCUGCUGUUUUGAGGUGUUUUAGACAUUGAUGAGUUUAAGUGCAAGGUGCAAUGUAGACACAUGUUGGCUAAGUUUGGGUUGCUUAUUACUAAAAAGAUUUUCUUUUCAUGUCUUAAAAGUUUUGCUUCUUCUCUACCCUCACUGUUAUUUUUACAGCAUGUAUUCUAGCUCCUAAGCAAUCAAAACAUGUAGUGCUUCAGAAAGGAGGGAAAGUCAUGUGUGGUCUGAAUCGUAACACCAGAAGGAGAAUUGGCAUUUGUGCAUCCUUCCCCAUGGUGCCAGUCAGAGAUGUUGGCUGAAAGCAAUACCAUCAACUGUGGGUAACUCGAGCAGAGAAGGAAUUGACAAAAAGGUAAUUUCCAGGAAGCCUGGAGAACCAGGCUUGGACAGAACCAGGCUUGGACAACAGGCUAAACACCAAGGCUGUCCAGGCACACAGGACACCAGCCAGGACCAGUGUCAGGAACAGCCUGGCUGAUAAGCCCCUAUGGGUACUGCCUCUAGGGACCCUUGCCUGUGUUUCUGUGCAUCAGCUUUAACCAUCUUUACCUUUGUGGGUCUCCCUCCAGAACUGAAGGCUUGGGAGGAGUUUCCAAUGGGUAAACUGGGCUAUUUGUCCAUGCCCAUACUACCUGGGGGAAGAGGGAAUGCGUUCAGCCUUUCGUGAAGAUGCAGCCCUUCCCCACACCCGGGCGUCCUCACUGAGGAAGACUCACAAAUAGGAUGAGGGGUUGGGGAGAGGGCAACCAAAGCAAUGGCCCAAGUCCACUCUAGCCCACUUUUUCAUUCCCAGUACCCACGUGCAACCCUCUUCCAGGAGGAGCUCCCAGAAGCCAUGCACCUCCCUGUCCAUAUUGCCUGUCAGAACUUUUGGUAAUUGGGAUCAGUUAAUCACCCGAGCCAACACUUCAGCUCUCCUCUUUCUGUUUGCCUGAUGGCACAAGGAGACAACAUACCAGGUGUCUCUAUUCACUUCCCUUCACCAUGACUCCUUGCGCAAGCACUUCCCGCUUCGGUACUGAAGCCUCAAAACCAGCUGAGAACAGAUUCGUGAAGACAGGAAGCAAAAAACUCGAAUGGAUCAUUCAGUAUAACUUUAUCCACUUCCACCUCCCGCUUCUUAGCUCUGUGUAUUCUGGCUAUGGGAGGGGCCAAACCUUGUGUUCUUUACUGAUUCAGAGCAUACACUACAUCCUGCCACCUAGCACGCCAAUCUCUGAAAGUGUUAUCAUUGUGUCUUUGGAAACUCAUGCCAUGUCACUGUUCUAUGACUUCUGGAUAAUGGGGUAUGUGACGAGAUGAUUGAAACCCAUGACAGUAAGUCCAUUGCCUGCUUCUUCUUUUCUUUUUUUUCUUUUUUUUUUUUUUUUUGAUACAGAGUCUCGAAGGCUCUGUUGCCCAGACUGGAGUGCAGUGGUGCGAUCUCAACUCAUUGCAACCUCCAGCUCCCGGGGUUCACGCCAUUCUCCUGCCUCAGCCUUCUGAGUAGCUGA
rnacentral:lncRNA from 10 species